rnacentral:rRNA from 1 species
UAUUGAAGACUGCCCUGAUAACAUGCAGUCUCAUCUGAUUUCAAAAGCUAAGCAGGAUCAGGACUGGUUUAUACUUGGAGGAGUGCAUUAGGAAAAACUAGGAUGUCCAGAU